GACGAACGCUGGCGGCGUGCUUAACACAUGCAAGUCGAACGGAAAGGCCCUGCUCUUGUGGGGUGCUCGAGUGGCGAACGGGUGAGUAACACGUGAGUAACCUGCCCUUGACUUUGGGAUAACUUCAGGAAACUGGGGCUAAUACCGGAUAGGAGCUCCUGCUGCAUGGUGGGGGCUGGAAAGAUUCGGCGGUUGGGGAUGGACUCGCGGCUUAUCAGCUUGUUGGUGGGGUAGUGGCUUAACAAGGCUUUGACGGGUAGCCGGCCUGAGAGGGUGACCGGCCACAUUGGGCCUGCGAUACGGCCCAGACUCCUACGGGAGGCAGCAGUGGGGAAUAUUGCACAAUGGGCGGAAUCCUGAUGCAGCAACUCCGCGUGCGGGAUGUCGGCCUUCGGGUUGUAAACCGCUUUCGCCUGUGACGAAGCGUGAGUGACGGUAAUGGGUAAAGAAGCACCGGCUAACUACGUG
rnacentral:rRNA from 1 species